AAUUCUGUCGUAUCCUUUUGAAUUCCUCCGAGUCCUCCAUGAAGAAUAUUGAAGAAGGAAGAAGAAGAACCGGAAGAGGAAGUUCACUCGAUUCUCACACAAUAGUACCGAAGAAGCUCGCAAGAGGUGGGUAGUGGCGUGAUUUUGUAAUCACGUGAUCAAUAAAAAGGACUGUUACUGGACUUGGGAUCUAUUUGCACUCGGAAUCCUUUUUUUACAUACAUAAAAAUAGAGUUUCUUUAUGAGUUACUUACUGCUUUUAUUGGCCGAUUUUUACGAGGUUCAGUUAUAAUUUAUAUAAAUUUAUGGAACUUCUCACGAAAAUAAAACUUGUUCAAUAAAAUAUGAAAAUACGUUUAUAUAUAAAUAACACUAGUGAUUAAUGUCAAAAUCAUUAAUGUUGCAAUGUAAAAAUCUGUUAUAUCCAAAAAUUUAUAUGCCCUUUCCAUGACAAAUUACUCUGAGAUAUAUAUGAAGUUUAUUACAACAUAACCUCUAAAUCAAGAGUGUCAUGCUGCUUUCAAUACUGUCAUACGAUGAAUUUAUCUUGCUCGAAUUAGUCGGAAAUGCGAAUGUAAUUGGAUAAUAUCUUAUAAUUGAAGCAUUAUUAUUGACGAUUCCAGAAUGCUGCACAAUACGACUUCAUUGCCUCAGGAUAUUCUGGUCGAGGUUAAAAAAUUUAUUUCCGGCGCCGUUUCUAGGCCUCGAAUAUUUUUGCAAUGUAUUUUUCAUCACGGUGUCGAAAUAUGUUCGCCAGAUCGAGAUAAAUCAGAAUAUAUCGAUAUCAGCAGAGAACAUUAUAGUCGAGAUCCACUGUUCUGAGUUCUGAGCAAUUUUAUAAAUGGAAAUUCAGAAGCAUGGACACUUAUUAUAUCAGCAUGGUCAUUGGACUUACUUGAUGGGAAAAGUCGAAUAAAGUGGCAAUGUUAUAGUCAAAGAUGAUUAUUAAAUAUUAUCUUUGUUGACGAGAACCAACUUUGACUUGGUGAAUGUUAUUCUGUUGGAUCUGCUAAGCUCAAGGAAGAUUAUAUUCUCCAUGUGGAACUCGUGCUGAAAUUGAUGAGGGCAGUCAUCCAAUAUUUCUUGUGCAUUGCACAAACAGAAGGAACGAGUAGUGAAAAGAUGAUUUGUAACUUAUUGAAGGAUGUGAUGUGUUAUUCUUCCUGCUGGUGCUCAGAGAGAUUUUAGUAAAUAGUAUCAAUGAGCAGGCAAAGUAUUUUGGUGCAAAGGAGAAAUUGAGCCCUGUUCUGAGGAGACAUUAGGGUUACAUCAGAAUCAUAGACAGAUAUAAUUCUAUAUAUGUCUAUA